rnacentral:sRNA from 1 species
AUGUCUGCGAAUGAAAUCACCCUUACAUCCACAGAAUAGCUGUGAAACAGACUUCUCCACACUAGCCUGCCAUGUGCCUCAACUUUGACUUGGAGGAACAUCUUCUACAGGCAAAGGGUAGUGUCAUUUCCUUUCCCAUUCAAUGUUGUUAAUGCU